CUUUGGGGAGACAUCAUAGUUAUGUUUCAAUGACUACAAAGUCUUCUCAGCACCCUGUAUUGGGACAACUUCUCUGUAAGACCUCUUGCAAAGGAUUUAAUGAGUAGACAUGACAGAGAGACAGAUACAUGAUGGAGUUGAACAAAGCAAAGGUUUUUCUUCACGUGAACCAUGGAAGGAGAUUCAGAAAACUAUGGAAUACCCAUUUGCAGGGGGCUGGAAACGGGCCUGCCCAGGCAGCAGUCAGACCUCUGGAGUUACGGCAUCCAAACAGUGCUGAACUAUACGGAAAUUUAGCAGAUUGGGAAGGAGAAAUGACGCUCAGAAAGAACCUAUGCCUACAGAAAAUUCACAGCAUCAGCUGGCGACCAAGCCAAGGGACCAUUGCCAAAGGAUAUUUCACUGAGGGAAUGAGAACAAAUGAACUACAAACCUGCAUGGAAAAACCACACAAAUUUCAGAUGCCAAUCUCCAAUUAUGAGUGACUGAAAGGGCAAUGGACCCCACUCCAAUGCCACACUCAAUAUUCCUCACAGGCCAGACUCCAUUCUGUCUGUUAGGCCACAUAUAAACGAAGCACCAGCAGAGACCUAAGGAAUUUCUGUUCCUCGGUGGCGGCGUGCCUGGCGGCCCAGCUAGCAAUUUCAGCAGUGAAAGUUCAAAAAGCAUCAAACCCACUGAUUCUCAUUCCCAUAGGUUUUUGAUUCGUAAGCCAUGAAAUGACCUCACAGAAAAGAGAAAAUGCAAAUGUCCUUUUACCUUUAUCAUGUUCUGAGCAGGAACAUUCAAGAAUUGUGAUCUGGCCCUGCUCAAUCCUUGAUCCAUCAAGAGAAGAAUUGGAUGUUGCCUUGGACCAGCCCCGUUUUGGCCCAAAACUAAAGACUGAGAUUUGAAGUCCUCGGUUUCACUGGUGUAGGCACUAACCUCAGGAGCCUCCUGGAAAGCACGGUUCCCUUCAGUACAGAUGACACGCUGGAAGAUUUAAAAAGCAUUAAACAGAGAUGACCAGCUCGCUUCACUUCCUUUCUGCAACUUUAGAAAACACAGCAAGUCUGUACAUGUAUGGUUCCUGCCUGGAAGCACAGACUGCAGCUUUUAACCCCAAGUUAAAAUAUAAACUCGUCUUUCAUUUCUAUUUUACAAUAAUAUUUAAUCAGUUAGGGCCGAAGGAUACACACAAAGUUUGCCAGUAAAUGUUGCCUAGUAGAUUUUGUGGAAAAUAAGUUUGGUAGAACAAAAUUGAAAAACAGAGAAGCAAACCAUGACACUCCUACUAAAGUUACGUAGAGAAAUGUACAGCUUAGCCUUGUAUGAAUCGGUGCUUUUCCAUCGUGCCUGUGAAACUGAAGUGGAAAGACAGUAAAUGAACUGGAGCGCAGAGAUACUGCUCAGCUAUGGCAAUGGAAAUACAGCUUUCAGCCACCAAAGGAAUCUGGUUUUCACUUGUCUUGAUUCUUCCUUCUUCUAAAUCAAGUUAGAAUUAUGUCUU